AUGAAUGGAAAACAUUAAGAUGAAGCCCGUAUCCUGCUGCGCAAAAUUGGCAUGGUUCAAUAGGUUUAUCAUUUCUGUGACCACAGUGAUCCAAUAUCACUGUGCCAGUGACCCAAUACACUAUGCCAAUCACCACAGUGAUCCACCCCUUUUCAUUUUCAACCCUGAAAAAGCCCACUCUGACCUGGAGUCCAGAGGAUUAUUUUUAGAAGGUACUCCCCUAAUUACAGGGCAGCACUACUACAUUUUAUUGGGACCGCCAAAACCAUCCAAAAGGCACUAAAACUCCAAGAAGAAAACUUAGAUUCUUUCUCUGUCCCUUGAAGAUGUAAAUCUUAAAAUGUCUUUGAACUAUAAACACCCCAGGAGAUUACUUGUCAAGGACAAAUACAAAUCUUAAAAGUCUUCUCCACAAAUAUUAGUAAGAAGCUUUAGCCAUUGGAGCAGGUGCUGUGUGACUUCCAGGUGCUGGGCUGCUGAGAACCAAGGACGUUGAUUAAAGACAUUCAGGAGAAUUGGAUGAAGGUUUAUAGGAACAUUGUGACCAGGAUUUGGACAGCUGCAAGAACUAGGGAUCCCUGAACCAAGGAGUGUGCAACAACCAGCCACACCUCCUCCCCCUUUUAGUACAAAAGAAGCCUGAAUUCAAAUUCAGGUAAGAUGGUUCUUUGGG